rnacentral:lncRNA from 1 species
ACACUGAUUUCUUUUACAAAUCUUAUCAAAGAUAUCUUUUGCAAUAGGCCCUGGCACCAAGAUUUGAAUAAAAUAGAAAAACAACAACCAGAGAAAGGAAAGCAGAAUCGAUCAUGAGGAGUUCCUUAUUGUUUUUGCCCCUCAAGGAUAUUUUAGGUUAAAGAGAAUAACGAUAUUCUACUGGGACCACUAAGAAUGGGCAAGAUUGAGUGCUUGAUGUCGCUAUAUGUUCAAUCAUAAUGACAGAGAACAUGAUUUUUGCAGUACAGAAAUUCCAAAUGCAUGCAUAUGUUCAAAAACUGAUUGUGAUCGAUAACCGAUCAUUACAGAGAACUGAAGGAGUACUGGUCUGGUGUCAGACAGGCGAUCCCUGAAAACGUUGAAGGGGUCUAUCUUUCUAUUUCUAGCUAGCUAAUAGCUGCUUGCAUCGCCAUCUACCUAAAAUCAGCUUGGUUGAAUAUUUGGGCUACCUGUUGCUUUUUCUUCUUCUUCUUCUUCUUUUGACAGGGGUUGUGUAUCCAUUGACAAAUUUAGAGAUUAAUUUGACGCUAAGGUUCGUUUUUGAGAAAGGAACGACAAUGGGCAUGCAUCUGAUCAAUGUACGUAGCUAGAUCAGAUUUGUCAUUUAAUUUGCCUGUCCAGAUCAUAAACAACGUUAGGGAUCAGAGCUAGCUAGCUAGGUUUCAUGUAAGAUAUUUUCUAAGACGUUUAGAAAGUUGUUAAUUACAUAUAAUAUCAUUGAAAAAGCUACACAGCUUUAUAUAUUCUGAUCUGGGAAGUGGGAACAAUAUUCGAUUCUUCAAAUUAAGAAGAUGGAGUCAAUUGAUUAACAACUGCAUGCUUUUCAAAAUAGCAAACAAAUUGAAAGUGGAUUCUUUAACAUAACCUGUUUGGGAUGGGGGAGUCUCCUCUUCUUUAGAAUCUUGAUUACAGGAGAGAAUUCAACGAGAACCAAGCGUUUCCACUCCCAUUUAGUAUAUGCUCUCUGAUUUCUCUCAAAGGUAUGCUUUAAAUUAGUGAUAAAGAUCGUAUCGCAUCCACCAGAAACAUUGGAAACAUUGUGGGUUUUUUUUUUUUUUUAAUUAACGGAUAUCUGGGAACAUAAUCACAACCCCCAUGACUAUUGUCAAAUGCCACAUUUCGGGCUGUGAGAAGGUGGCACUUGGCAGCAUCAUUACUGAAUUUGAAGUUGAU